rnacentral:rRNA from 1 species
CCUACGGGUGGCAGCAGUGGGGAAUAUUGCACAAUGGGGGCAACCCUGAUGCAGCAACGCCGCGUGGGUGAAGAAGUAUUUCGGUAUGUAAAGCUCUGUCAGCAGGGACGAAGGAGACGGUACCUGCUCAAGAAGCACCGGCUAACUACGUGCCAGCAGCCGCGGUAAUACGUAGGGGGCAAGCGUUAUCCGGAUUUACUGGGUGUAAAGGGGGCGUAGACGGGACUGCAAGUCUGGAGUGAAAGCCCGGGGCUCAACCACGGGACUGCUCUGGAAACUGCAUGGCUGGAGUGCAGGAGGGGUAAGCGGAAUUCCUGGGGUAGCGGUGAAAUGCGUAGAUAUUAGGAGGAACACCAGUGGCGAAGGCGGCUUACUGGACUGUAACUGACGUUGAGGCGCGAAAGCGUGGGGAGCAAACAGGAUUAGAUACCCGAGUAGUC